rnacentral:rRNA from 1 species
CCUACGGGAGGCAGCAGUAGGGAAUCUUCCGCAAUGGACGAAAGUCUGACGGAGCAACGCCGCGUGAGCGAUGAAGGCCUUCGGGUCGUAAAGCUCUGUUGUUAGGGAAGAAUAAGUGCUAGUUGAAUAAGCUGGCACCUUGACGGUACCUAACCAGAAAAGCCACGGCUAACUACGUGCCCAGCAGCCGCGGUAAUACGUAGGUGGCAAGCGUUGUCCGGAAUUAUUGGGCGUAAAGCGCGCGCAGGCGGUUUUCUUAAGUCUGAUGUGAAAGCCCCCGGCUCAACCGGGGAGGGUCAUUGGAAACUGGGAAACUUGAGUGCAGAAGAGAAAGUGGAAUUCCAAGUGUAGCGGUGAAAUGCGUAGAGAUUUGGAGGAACACCAGUGGCGAAGGCGACUUUCUGGUCUGUAACUGACGCUGAGGCGCGAAAGCGUGGGGAGCAAACAGGAUUAGAUACCCUGGUAGUCCACGCUGUAAACGAUGAGUGCUAAGUGUUAGAGGGUUUCCGCCCUUUAGUGCUGAAGUUAACGCAUUAAGCACUCCGCCUGGGGAGUACGGUCGCAAGACUGAAACUCAAAGGAAUUGACGGGGGCCCGCACAAGUGGUGGAGCAUGUGGUUUAAUUCGAAGCAACGCGAAGAACCUUAC